UACAGAGGGUGCGAGCGUUAAUCGGAAUUACUGGGCGUAAAGCGUGCGUAGACGGCUAUCUAAGUCGGGUGUGAAAGCCCCGGGCUCAACCUGGGAAUUGCAUUCGAGACUGAAUAGCUAGGGUACGGUAGAGGGAAGCGGAAUUUCCGGUGUAGCGGUGAAAUGCGUAGAUAUCGGAAGGAACAUCAGUGGCGAAAGCGGCUUCCUGGACCAGUACCGACGUUCAGGCACGAAAGCGUGGGGAGCAAACGGG
rnacentral:rRNA from 1 species